ACUAACAUGAAGCACCCAGUUGUCAUGAAGAUACUUCACACCUUCUUGAGGGCUGGAUCAUUAAGCACUUCACUUUUUGAAAUUAGAAUUUCUUUGCGUGUGGUGUUCUUAUGAUCUCCUCUUUUAACAUAUUUUACUAAUGCUGUUUUUAAUGCAGGUUGUUUUGGCUGCUAAUGACUCAUCUUCUAUCAAUUAUAUCAAAGGUAACACAAAUUAGAUCAAUGUAUUUAAAUACCUGAAGUUCAUUUUUCUUUACAUCGAACUU
rnacentral:lncRNA from 1 species